rnacentral:rRNA from 1 species
CAGUCGCCGCGGGAAUACAGAGGGUGCAAGCGUUAAUCGGAAUUACUGGGCGUAAAGCGCGCGUAGGUGGUUUGUUAAGUUGGAUGUGAAAGCCCCGGGCUCAACCUGGGAACUGCAUCCAAAACUGGCAAGCUAGUACGGUAGAGGGUGGUGGAAUUUCCUGUGUAGCGGUGAAAUGCGUAGAUAUAGGAAGGAACACCAGUGGCGAAGGCGACCACCUGGACUGAUACUGACACUGAGGUGCGAAAGCGUGGGGAGCAAACAGGAUUAGAUACCCCAGUAGUCCCUGUCUCUUAUACAC